AAACCAUUUCUUACAGUAAUACACAGCAGAGUCGUCCAGCUCCACGCUGCUUAUUACUAACUGAUAAUCUGUGUUAGACUGGGCCCUGGAGGAGAAGCGACUGGAGGAGAAUCCACUUCCAUACGUGGGAGAGCUGUGAGUACGAUAGUAAUACAGGACGAACUGGGGAGCUCCUCCUGGGACCUGCUUGUACCAGUAAAUAUUCUUAGUAUCAUCUAUAGGUUUCUGACAGUGCAAGGUGGCCGUUUCUCCUUUACUCAGAGUCAGUAUGGAGGGUUUUUGAGUGACCAUCCUUUGGCCGCUGACACC